GAUGAACGCUGGCGGCGUGCCUAAUACAUGCAAGUCGAGCGAACGGACGAGAAGCUUGCUUCUCUGAUGUUAGCGGCGGACGGGUGAGUAACACGUGGAUAACCUACCUAUAAGACUGGGAUAACUUCGGGAAACCUGAGCUAAUACCGGAUGAUAUUUUGAACCGCAUGGUUCAAAAGUGAAAGACGGUCUUGCUGUCACUUAUAGAUGGAUCCGCGCUGCAUUAGCUAGUUGGUAAGGUAACGGCUUACCAAGGCAACGAUGCAUAGCCGACCUGAGAGGGUGAUCGGCCACACUGGAACUGAGACACGGUCCAGACUCCUACGGGAGGCAGCAGUAGGGAAUCUUCCGCAAAGGGCGAAAGCCUGACGGAGCAACGCCGCGUGAGUGAUGAAGGUCUUCGGAUCGUAAAACUCUGUUAUUAGGGAAGAACAUAUGUGUAAGUAACUGUGCACAUCUUGACGGUACCUAAUCAGAAAGCCACGGCUAACUACGUG
rnacentral:rRNA from 1 species